GACGUAGGGCGCGAGCGUUGUCCGGAUUUAUUGGGCGUAAAGAGCUCGUAGGCGGCUUGUCGCGUCGACUGUGAAAACCCGCGGCUCAACUGCGGGCCUGCAGCCGAUACGGGCAGGCUAGAGUUCGGUAGGGGAGACUGGAAUUCCUGGUGUAGCGGUGAAAUGCGCAGAUAUCAGGAGGAACACCGAUGGCGAAGGCAGAUCUCUGGGCAUUAACUGACGCUGAGGAGCGAAAGCAUGGGGAGCGAACAGG
rnacentral:rRNA from 1 species